AGGGGUGUGGCCAAGUGGCAAGGCACAGGGUUUUGAACCCUGGACCAAAGGUUCAAAUCCUUUCACCCCUG
rnacentral:tRNA from 1 species